GUGCUCUGAGAGUGUUUAUAGUGCUGUGAGUUUAACACUUCAUCACUGACACACACAACAAUCUUCAUCAACAUGACCUUCAUCAUCAUCUGGACGCUCUUAUACUGCUUUACACUACAAGACUGUAGAGCUCAGAUCACAGUGACUCAGACUGCAGUAAAAACUGUUAAACCAGAAGAAACUGUUACGAUGAGCUGUAAAUUCAGUACAGCUCCAGACUGCAGCCCACCAUGUGUUGCUUGGUACUUACAGAAACCUGGAGAAGCUCCUAAACUCCUGAUUUAUGAAACAAACACCCUCCAGUCAGGAACUCCAUCUAGAUUCAGUGGCAGUGGAUCUAACAGUGAUUUCACUCUGACCAUCAGUGGAGUCCAGACUGAAGAUGCUGGACAUUAUUACUGUCAGAGUUACCACUGGAUCAACAGUAAAGCAGUGUUCACACAGUGAUAAAGAGUCGUACAAAAACCUCCGUCAGUCAGAGUCACAGUGACUGAACUGAUACUGCAGCUGCUCACACACUUUCACACACUUUCACACACAGAAGGUUUUCAAACACACAGAUCUAAACAUUCUUCUAUAAAUGUUUCUCUCUCAUAAACUCAUCUCAGAGCACAUCUGAAACCAGACAAAAUGGACCUGAUGGACUCAUUUCUGUUUAUGAUAAUUUAUCUUUGGCUGCAUUAUGAUUUCCACAUAUAUGGCAUAUGACAA